GAGAGGGAUGUUUCUUUGGUGCUUCAUGCUUAACUAUCCCUCGCUAUUUGUGGGGUCUCAAUCUUGUGAAAUGAAAAAGUGCCCAUAUUAGAUUUGACUACUCAUAUGGUAAUCUGAGAGCAGCCUCAGGCGCAAAAUGGCACAAGAGGACAAAAGUUCAAGAAUUACCUGACCCAAGGUUGGGGAAGAAGCCAGAAAACGAUACA
rnacentral:misc_RNA from 1 species